AGAACGAACGCUGGCGGCAUGCCUAAUACAUGCAAGUCGAACGAGCACUUCGGUGUUAGUGGCGCACGGGUGCGUAACGCGUGGGAAUCUGCCCUUGGGUUCGGAAUAACAGUUGGAAACGACUGCUAAUACCGGAUGAUAUCGAAAGAUCAAGGAUUUAUCGCCCAGGGAUGAGCCCGCGUAGGAUUAGCUAGUUGGUGAGGUAAAGGCUCACCAAGGCGACGAUCCUUAGCUGGUCCGAGAGGAUGAUCAGCCACACUGGGACUGAGACACGGCCCAGACUCCUACGGGAGCAGCAGUAGGGAAUAUUGGACAAUGGGCGCAAGCCUGAUCCAGCAAUGCCGCGUGAGUGAUGAAGGCCUUAGGGUUGUAAAGCUCUUUUACCCGAGAUGAUAAUGACAGUAUCGGGAGAAUAAGCCCCCGGAUAACUCCGUAGCCAGCAGCCGC
rnacentral:rRNA from 1 species